UACGAAGGGGGCUAGCGUUGCUCGGAAUUACUGGGCGUAAAGCGCACGUAGGCGGCCUCUUAAGUCGGUGGUGAAAUCCUGGAGCUCAACUCCAGAACUGCCUUCGAUACUGGGAGUCUUGAGUCCGGGAGAGGUGAGUGGAACUGCGAGUGUAGAGGUGAAAUUCGUAGAUAUUCGCAAGAACACCAGUGGCGAAGGCGGCUCACUGGCCCGGUACUGACGCUGAGGUGCGAAAGCGUGGGGAGCAAACAGG
rnacentral:rRNA from 1 species